ensembl:lncRNA
CAGGUGAACAGAAGGAUUUGAGUUCCUGUAUGUUUCUUUCAUCACACCAUGUCACGUUAGUCAUAAGGCAUACGCCCCCGCCCCUCUUCUUACCAGAAAGAUGUUUGUUUCUGUCGGCGCGAUGCGUGGAGAAACCCGUUGGCUGCACCGCCUCGGAUAGCGUCACUCCAGUGAGCCAUGUUUCCGUGAAGCAUAGAACGUUACAGUCUCUGAUGUCCCUCUGGAAUGCUACCCUUGCUCGGAUUUCAUCAACCUUGUUGUCAAGAGACUGGACAUUGGCAAGAAGAAUGCUAGGGAGUGGUGCACGGUGUGCCCGUCUCCGGAGUCUGACCAGAAGACCGCCUCGUUUCCCUCUUUUUCGGAGUCGUUUUUUUGGGUCGCUGCAUGGAUCUCUUUAUCAUCUGUCUGUUUCUUCCUCUCUUUAUCAUCUGUUUCUCCACCUCUUUAUCAUCUGUCUGUUUCUUCCUCUCUUUAUCAUCUCUGUUUCAUCUCUGUUUCUCCAUCUCUUUAUCAUCUGUCUGUUUCUCCCUCUUUGGUCUUUGGGAGACUCCAUCAUAUCACACUAAUCAGUGGAUCUAAGAUAUGAACACAUGAACUUAAAUAACGCUGCUCAUUUCAUUCUCCUCGGGAGUUUCACAGAAUCUGAAAUGUAGAGAUUCACCUUUGUCUAGCCCUUUUUUUACUAAAUUAAAAUAAUAUUUUCCUUUGUUGAAAACCAACGAAGUGGAAGAAAGGCAUUUAAGUUUUGUCAGCCAGAACGAGUUUGGGGGUUUCCUUAGCUCUGUAUCUCACAUCAUAUCAUAAUUACCUGCUAUAUUUUUGUGUGACCAUAACUAGCCAUAUCUAAUUGUGCUUUGAAUGUCAGAGCUAAACUUAGAAAUGACAACAAACAGGUGCAUUACUUUAAAUCAAAGUUGAAAGGCAAGCUGACCCCGCACCAAACACAGUUCCUAGACUUCCUACGAAAAGCCUGGGCCUUCGACACUCCAACUGUAAAAAGCCCAUUAGUGAUAGAGAAGGAAACAAACACUCCACUCCUACUUUGUACUCUUCCUUUCUUUCCAAUCUGCACGCUUACUCACGGGCACAAAUCAUUUCAUAACAGGCUGGGGGGCGUUCGUGUUUGUGUGUAUACAUCAAAGCCCUGCACACGCACACAGAGGAACACGGACAAAAUAAAAGGGGCGUAAGAAAACAAACAUAGCCCUUUGUUCUGGUGGCGGAGGCCCGUCUCAGCCCUGAUUACAGAAGAAGGAAAAGAGAAAGAGAGGAGGAAUGCUCAGAUCUGCCGGACCCUCGCUCUGACGUUCCGAUCUUGGCCCCCCGUCAUAACCGCUCCGGAAGCAGGAAUUAUUUUAGAAGGGUUUGGAAUAAUGAAUGAACCGGAAAGUGUCCGUCGUCGUACACUUGGAUCAGCGGGAAGUUGCACUGUGGCGGGGUUAGAGACAGUGGCACGACAUGGCUAAUAGCUGAUUAGAGCCUCCAGGAUACCAUGAUGGAGCAUGCCCUCGUUGGGUGACUUCCUAUUGGUGGAUGCAGGAUAUUCAAAGAGCGAGCACACCCUCCGUGGAAUAAACUCACCUACCUGCCCAGAUCCCACUUCUGACACCAUUACGUCUAUUUAGAGCUAGGGUCAAAAGAGACAACGGCAAGUAUCCAUUUAAAAAAGACAGUGGAUCUUUCACUGAAUGUGGGUUUGAAAUGAAACAGAUCUACAAUGAGCACCAUGGAAUCAUGCAUUCCAACUGACUUUGAAACAGGACUGUCUGAGUUCAGCAUUUGAAGUGAUAUGCCUUUUUUGAGUUGUCAAAAUGUCUCACUCUAACCUUUAACCCCUUCCUGCUCUCUUACAGUCCAGAACUAACUGCCUGGAUCUGAGACAGCAUGCUCUGAGUAAACUUAACCCAGUUUAACACAGUGGCAAGGGCAAGGUCAUGAGCACAGGUUCAACAGGAUGCCAAGGUAGAAAAAUAGAUGCAUGAAUAUAAUCAAUAUAACGCCUGUCAGUAGUGUCACUCUGAUUCCACAGCAAGGGAAAGCAGGAUUACACUGCCACUCAAGUUUUGAUUACAACUGCUACCCCCUUCAUUAAUACGCAUUUCAAUAUGGCAUCAUAUUUAGACCUGUUUUGAUUGUAUUUAUGUGAAAAAAUAGUUGUAUCUUUGUGUGGUGUGUGAGAUUGUAUCUGACUGCUGUAAAUCACACACAGGUGUGUUCCCUUCCUGCUUCCCAUGACUGCCUCCAAGCUAACCUCUUAGCCACAUACCGUCUCGCUUUCACCCCCCCCGUCUCUCUCUCUCUAACUCACUCUCUUC